AACAGGGCAGGGAGAAGGCCUGGGUUUUCCUGAGCUGGAGGAGGUGGGGUUUUUCUUUGGCGUGGAGGGGUUGGGCCUUCCUCAGAACCCUGACAGAAUGUUAACAUUUUACUUUUUUUUCUUGUUUCCACUUUUUGUUUGUAAUCUCUUGUCAUGAAUUUGUUGUUUGUUUUCGAGGGAAGAGUUGAAGCUGGUGCCCGGUCCAGAUUGGGAAGGGCUGGGACCAUCCCUGGAGAGGAUCUGACGUCCCCUCUGAGAAGGCUGAGGACAUCCUUUGGGACACGCUCUUCUUCCGCCAGCAGAUCUUGUGAGACAGGACACCUCUGCCUGAUCUCCCACGGAUCCGAGGGAUCUCUGGAUCUUCAUGCCAGCACCAGGACUUUGCUGCAGAAGAGCACAGAUCCCCAGAGCAGUCUGGGACACAGAACCCUCUGAAAUGGCAGAAGGAUUGUGGUGUGAAUGCAGCGCCCUCAGAGCCCUUGGUGUGAGCCCAGAAAGGAAAAUCAAGGGAAAUGGUUAAAGCCUUGUUGUUCAAUGUGGAGCACAGGAGAACUUUGUUCUAAUUGUCUCCCCAAAAAGGAGGAGGACUUAGAUCUUCUGGUUGGCCCCACGAGCAGGUUGAGUGGGGGAACAGAAAAUCAAGAUGCAGAAACCAAUCUUGCAAGGGAACUGGCAUGUGAAGAGGCAGAUUUAGCAUGUCCAGAAGAAAAGGGAGAGAGAAUGUGUCAGAGAGAGAGCAGAGAGCUUCAGUACAGCUUCAGGAAGAACUAGAACUAAACAAGGAGGGGUGGGAGUGGCCCCCCUGUGUGAUAGAACCCAGACUAAAUGGCAAAAGCAUUCAAAAUGAUUGAAACCCAGGAUCCGGGCUAGAAGGAUCCUAUGUUAGAAGUGUUGUUUGGUAGUAGGGAGAAAGCAAUGGUUCUUAAAACUAGUCAGAGGUUUUUGGAAGAGCAGAUUUUGGUGGGGAAUAUACAGAGUACAUUGGACAUUCCCUUUCCCACUGUGGAUUCCAAACAGGAUCCUAACAUCCCUAUUUUUAGAGAAAGGUUCAAUAGAUACCUGCAGUGGAUGUUAUCUGGAAUGAAACAUGCCAGGCCAAAGGCAAUGAACACGUCAAAAUUCUUUGCAAUGAAGCAGGAUCACAGGGAAUAGCCUACUGAAUUUUUAAAUCAUCUGGAAGAAACAGCACAAAAAUAUACUAAUAUCCAUCCUGAAACACAGGGGGAAGGACUCAACUGGCCCCCAUAUUUGUGGGGCAGUCCUCAGAUGUGGUUAGGAGGAAAUGACAAAAAACUGAGGGACAAGAUCAAGAUAAUUUCAGGACAUUGUUGGAGGUUGGGAGAAUCAGCGGGAAUCAACUCAGCAGGAAGGAGCUGCAGUUCUGGAAGAAAUCCCUGAGGAAAUGGUGCCCCCGGGGAGAGGAAGAGGAUGAGAGCAUGGGCAGCCUGCUUCAAACAUCCCCCCAGGAGACUUGGUAUCAAUCCCUGUGCAUCCUGUAAGAAAGAUGGACACUGGAAAUGGGAUUGUCCGCAACUGAAACUUCAGAACCCUCCGAACCCUCUCCUGGCAUCACUGAAGACGACUGAGGGGGCACCAGAGGAUUCUUCCCCAUCAGAACCUCUGGUUCCAGCCAAGCUAAGUACAAUUGUUUGUGGCUAUGGGAACUUGUUCCCCUGUCUUAAAUAAGGGAAAAUGAAACUCAAGUCACAAUUCUGGAACAAUUGUCUGGUGUGACAGGGAAUUGGGAAACUGGGCCAUUUUUAAUGCUGUGGAUUUGAAAUUGGGAAAACAGUGGUUGGCUCCCCAGUGUUUGUAUUUCCCCAAUUCACCAAAGCCUCUGCCUGGGAGAGAUCUCUUGGAAAAAUUAAAUGCCACAAUCCAAUUUAAAAAUGGUAAAAUAUAGGUUAUUAUUCCAGAGCCUAAUUCUGUGGAAGAUUCUAGUUUUGCAUGAGAGUCUCCAAAAGCGGAACUAAUCCAUCUGCCAGCAUCACCUGGGGAUGCAGUGAUUCCAGUAGGAUGGGCUGGAGAGGUGCCUCCAUGAGCCAAAAGAGCAGAACCCGUGAGAAUUCCAGUGAAACCUGGAGCAGGGUUGGUCAGGCCAAAGCAAUAGCCUUUGAAAAUGGAAAGUUGUGAGGGAUUCUCACUCUUUGUAGAAAAACUGAUGAAAUUUUGCUUGUUAAAAGAAUGUGAAUCUAAAUGGAAUGCUCCAAUUUUGCCAGUCAAGCAGGCAAAUGGAAGGCUAUACCAGUUAGUCCAAGACCUCAGAGCUAUAAAUAAUAGAGUAUAAGAUAUACAACCAGUUGUAGCGAAUCCUUACACUUUGCUAACUCCCCUAAAUGAAAGUUUAAUAUGUUUCACAGUAUUAGAUUUGAAAGAUGCCUUUUUCUGUCUCCCUUGGAGUUGUGAAAGUCAAGAGCUUUUUGCUUUCCAAUGGGAAAAUCCAAAGACAGGGAGGAAAACCCAGCUGACUUUGGUGGUCCUCCUGCAGGGGUUUAAAAAUAUCCCCCCAAUAUUUGGAACUCAAUUGGCAAAGGAACUGGAGGAAUGGAAAAGUCAAAACCCUCUUGGAGCCUUAUUCCAGUGUGUGGAUAUUUUGAUAGCCACUGAUGCUGAGCAGCAAUGUUGGGAUCAGAUACUAUUGAAUUUCCUUGGAUUGGGUGGAUAUGGGGUAUCCCAAACACAAAGUACAAGUAGUCCAGA